rnacentral:rRNA from 1 species
GACGAACGCUGGCGGCGUGCUUAACACAUGCAAGUCGAACGGAAAGGCCCUGCUUUUGUUGGUUGCUCGAGUGGCGAACGGGUGAGUAACACGUGAGUAACCUGCCCUUGACUUUGGGAUAACUUCAGGAAACUGGGGCUAAUACCGGAUAGGAGCUCCUGCUGCAUGGUGGGGGUUGGAAAGUUUCGGCGGUUGGGGAUGGACUCGCGGCUUAUCAGCUUGUUGGUGGGGUAGUGGCUUACCAAGGCUUUGACGGGUAGCCGGCCUGAGAGGGGGACCGGCGACAUUGGGACUGAGAGACGGCCCAGACUCCUACGGGAGGCAGCAGUGGGGAAUAUUGCACAAUGGGGGGAAGCCUGAUGCAGAAACGCCGCGUGCGGGAUGACGGCCUUCGGGUUGUAAACCGCUUUCGCCUGUGACGAAGCGUGAGUGACGGUAAUGGGUAAAGAAGCACCGGCUAACUACGUG